AGCGGCGGCGGGUGAGUAACGCGUGGGUAACCUGCCUCAUACAGGGGGAUAACAGUUGGAAACGGCUGCUAAUACCGCAUAAGCGCACAGUACCGCAUGGUACGGUGUGAAAAACUCCGGUGGUAUGAGAUGGACCCGCGUCUGAUUAGGUAGUUGGUGGGGUAACGGCCUACCAAGCCGACGAUCAGUAGCCGACCUGAGAGGGUGACCGGCCACAUUGGGACUGAGACACGGCCCAA
rnacentral:rRNA from 1 species